rnacentral:rRNA from 1 species
UUACGGGUACGGGGGAUCAGGGUUCGAUUCCGGAGAGGGAGCCUGAGAAACGGCUACCACAUCCAAGGAAGGCAGCAGGCGCGAAAAUUACCCAAUCCAGAAAAUGGGAGGUGGUGACGAGAAGUACCGAAUGGCGACUUAUAGUUGCUAGUUUGGAAUGAAAACAAUUUAAGCAAUUGAAUUGAGUAACGACUGGAGGGCAAGUCUGGUGCCAGCAGCCGCGGUAAUUCCAGCUCCAGUAGCGUGUCUCAAAGUUGCUGCGCUUAAAACGCUCGUAGUUGGAUCACGCACUACAAGUUGGUGUAUUUUGUCAAUUUUACAUGAAACCUAGACGACUUGAGUUGGUGAUAUUCUUAUUGCCGGUUGAGUUGGAUAGGCGUACGUUGGUAAAGUAGUUAGCCGAUUUGUAGUAAUUGCACGUGAGGAU